rnacentral:lncRNA from 1 species
CCAUCGUCUUAAUCAAAUAUUUUUCGUUAUUAAGAAAAUAUAGAUAGAUAAAGUGCCGAUGACAGAGAUAACCAGUAGAUACAUUUUAUUUGACAGUGGCUUUCGAUUAAAAUAAUUAUCACAUACUAAAUCGAAAAAUGAAAUAAAUUGAGAAACAAAUAACUUUACUGCAGCUUACUUAACAUCUCAAUAAAAAAAUGAUAUCUAGAGGAUUUAACACAGUAAGAGGAACUUUGAUUGUACUACUUUGUACAGGUAUGUUUGAGGAAAGUACUCAAAAUGUACAUCUAUGUAAUUAUAUUAUACAAUCAUACUUUCUUUAAAAAGGAGGGAAACGGGAACUUUUAUCAGUAGUAGAUUUAUGAUUGAUUUCGAAACGAUUUUUGUAUGAUAAUAGAUAACUGAACUAUUCUUAUUUUGUUUUGUAUGUAAUCGAUUACAAAGUAAUUAACGAUUUUUAUUAAUUCGAACGUCACCGAUGGGUCUAUUUGUAGAAAAUCGCGAGUUUAAAUGCUUUGAAAAGAAAUACUAAUAUUGUUAUCACUUACAAUUACAUUCUACAUAUAUGACAUAGUAAAGAAAAAAAUUAAGCACACUUAUGCUGCUUAAUGCUCGGUAAUUUUAAAGAUAAAAGAAUCAUAUAAUUAUACACAUAAAAACAACAAGCGUUUUGAUUUUGAUUGCUAAAAUAGCAAAAUAAGCAACACUCAAUCAAUUAUUUAUUGAAUGUUUUCUAAUGUGUUUUGUGAUAUUAUUAUUGUCAAAGAAAGCUGAUUGAUAUAGUAACUUACUGGGUUUAUCCCUCUUCAAAGUGCAUUUUUAAGUCGGGAGCCUCGUUCGAUUUUAUUGUUUAAAGUAUCAUUACGUUUUUGUUGCUUUGAGAAUUGUUGUUUGUGGUAGAUCUUUGAAAUGUUAUGAAACAGAUUUUUGACGUAUAUUUAGGGCUUUUUAUAUUUUAAGAUACAUGUCUAUUUGUUGGUAUCUGUCUAAUUAACGUUUACACAACAUUUCUUUUUUUCAAUAACAGAUAUACAAAUACACAGAUAACAGAAAUACCAGUGUAUACUAUUCAAUAUAAAAAGUCAGUUGUAUUAAUGCAUGUUCCUGUGUUAAUAUAAAUUUUGCAGCUUUUUGUAGUUUUUAAAAAAGUGGCCCAUUGACCCACAUUUUUCUUUUUAUCAAUUUUUAAUGUGUAUAAUUUUAAGCCAUCUGUAAACAUUUUAUAAAAUCUUUGUUUAAUAUUUUUUAACAUUUUUUUAGAACAUUUACUUGACAAUGAUAAAGCUAUGAAAUAUAAAGAGAGAACAUUUUCCCCGCAAAAAUUUCUCAAUGGCUUAUAUCUCGAAAACAAGCACAUUAACAUAUAUAUAUGUUUUUGGCUUUUUUGAUUCCUUUAUUAAACCCCUAACAAUAUAUACUAGAGUUAUGAAAAGCUUGUUUUUUUUUAACUGAGUAUCGAACGUCCUUAAAAUAAGAAAUAUUCAAUAUAUUUUCUAGGUUUAUUGAAACCAUCGGCAUCUUACAGUGUUGGCGACGCAAAUAACAUUCACAAGUUAUUAUUUAAUCAGACUGACGAGGUUCAAAACUGGACUACCUGAAACCAGUAAUGUCAGUGCAGAGUACAACUUGCUAGCUCUCAAUUCUUUGGUAAGUAUUUUCUCAGUUUGUGUUUUUUUUUUUCGGACAUUUUCUAAAGUAUCCUUGAAAUGCAAAAUAUUAAACAAAGACAAUUGAUAUAAUGACAAAUAUGUAUCGAUAUGACCAUGAUACC